rnacentral:rRNA from 1 species
AGCUUGUUGGUGGGGUGAUGGCCUACCAAGGCGACGACGGGUAGCCGGCCUGAGAGGGUGUCCGGCCACACUGGGACUGAGAUACGGCCCAGACUCCUACGGGAGGCAGCAGUGGGGAAUAUUGCACAAUGGGCGCAAGCCUGAUGCAGCGACGCCGCGUGGGGGAUGACGGCCUUCGGGUUGUAAACCCCUUUCAGCACAGACGAAGCGCAAGUGACGGUAUGUGCAGAAGAAGCACCGGCCAACUACGUGCCAGCAGCCGCGGUAAUACGUAGGGUGCGAGCGUUGUCCGGAAUUACUGGGCGUAAAGAGCUCGUAGGUGGUUUGUCGCGUUGUCGUGAAAACUCACAGCUUAACUGUGGGCGUGCGGGCGAUACGGGCAGACUGGAGUACUGCAGGGGAGACUGGAAUUCCUGGUGUAGCGGUGGAAUGCGCAGAUAUCAGGAGGAACACCGGUGGCGAAGGCGGGUCUCUGGGCAGUAACUGACGCUGAGGAGCGAAAGCGUGGGGAGCGAACAGGAUUAGAUACCCUGGUAGUCCACGCCGUAAACGGUGGGUACUAGGUGUGGGUUUCCUUCCUUGGGAUCCGUGCCGUAGCUAACGCAUUAAGUACCCCGCCUGGGGAGUACGGCCGCAAGGCUAAAACUCAAAGAAAUUGACGGGGGCCCGCACAAGCGGCGGAGCAUGUGGAUUAAUUCGAUGCAACGCGAAGAACCUUACCUGGGUUUGACAUGCACAGGACGCCAGUAGAGAUAUUGGUUCCCUUGUGGCCUGUGUGCAGGUGGUGCAUGGCUGUCGUCAGCUCGUGUCGUGAGAUGUUGGGUUAAGUCCCGCAACGAGCGCAACCCUUGUCUCAUGUUGCCAGCGGGUAAUGCCGGGGACUCGUGAGAGACUGCCGGGGUCAACUCGGAGGAAGGUGGGGAUGACGUCAAGUCAUCAUGCCCCUUAUGUCCAGGGCUUCACACAUGCUACAAUGGCCGGUACAAAGGGCUGCGAUGCCGUGAGGUGGAGCGAAUCCUUUCAAAGCCGGUCUCAGUUCGGAUCGGGGUCUGCAACUCGACCCCGUGAAGUCGGAGUCGCUAGUAAUCGCAGAUCAGCAACGCUGCGGUGAAUACGUUCCCGGGCCUUGUACACACCGCCCGUCACUCAUGAAAGUCGGUAACACCCGAAGCCGGUGGCCUAACCCCUCGUGGGAGGGAGCCGUCGAAGGUGGGAUCGGCGAUUGGGACGAAGUCGGAACAAGGUAGCCGUACCGGAGGGUGCGGCUG